rnacentral:tRNA from 1 species
AUUUUUCUAGUAUAUAAGUAUAUUUAACUUCCAAUUAAAAGGUCUAAUUUAAUAGGAAAAAUA